AGUUCGGAUUGUAGUCUGCAACUCGACUACAUGAAGCUGGAAUCGCUAGUAAUCGCGCAUCAGCCAUGGCGCGGUGAAUACGUUCCCGGGCCUUGUACACACCGCCCGUCAAGCCAUGGAAGCCGGGGGCGCUUGAAGUGCGUUGCCGCAAGGCGCGCCCUAGAGCGAAACCGGUGACUGGGGCUAAGUCGUAACAAGGUAGC
rnacentral:rRNA from 1 species